CAUCAAGCCGCAGGGUGGUCUUAGGGACCCCCGGAACAUCUGUCUCCCUCCUCAGACGCGGGUGCAGGAAGCCAGGCAGGGGCGGUGCCCCGCGGCCUGGGUCUCUCCGUCCGCCCGCAGACCACGGCUCGGCGCGCGCGCGCGGGGCGCCCCCUCGUGGACAUGCUGCGCUCUGCUCGCAGCAAGCCCCAGCCCCGAGCUCGCCUACGUGGGGAACCGGAAAACCACCGAGUUCAUCGCAAAUACAGAAAAGGAAACGGGAUGUGCACAAUCCGAAACCGCACAGAGAAGGCAUCAGUUCCUUUUCAUCUGUAACCAGGCCCUCACUUAACUCCUUAACCACUUGUCUCUCAAACAUGAGGCGACUUGUCGCUUUAAAUGGUCCCAGGACGUACCACAGGGACGCCGCACGGUGUCAGCAGAGCAUGUCCCCACCCCCUGGCAUGUAGACCCAAGGUCACUGUGUUCCUUGCCCAUCGCUCCAAUUGCCAUUGUUACCGUAUUGUCCACAGCCCGGCCUGGGUCCCACGGACAGCAGCCCUGAAGGGGUCUUCGGGGCAGGCCCUGUGGAGAGGGGACAGAGGACCGCCCGCCGUCUCCGGCUCAGUCACUCUGCCUUGUCUUGGUCUGAGCCAGUUUUUCGAUUUCUGCAGAAUUGCAAGAUGGGCCCCUCAGACUUCCCUCCUUUCAAAUCAACAGGAAAUUUGUGGUUAUAAUAAUGAAAAUACUGAGUGGACCUCCAGAGCCUGAUCACUCAUUAGAGAAGACCCAGAAGUGGCUGUCCCCCUCCCCCGACUCGUUCUGCACAGCGAGACUCAUUUCUUCCUCUUAAAAGGGGUAUCUCUGUGCCUGAUCUGUGUUACCAACGGUAACGUGCCUGUGAGCCCGAGCUGGGCCAGGGAGAGCUGAAUCCUGAGCCGCUCACAGCCCUUGAACCCUGGAGUCCUGGGGCUGCCCCAGACAGAAAAUCAGAGAAAACGCCACAUUCCAGGGGGAGGAUUCAAGAAGGCAGAGUAUGUAACAGACAGAAUGAUGGCCCCCAAAGAUGUCCACACGCUAAUCCCUAGAGCCUGUGAAUGUGUAAGCUUGCAGGGCAAAGGGGACUUUGCAGGUGUCAUGAGGUUAAAGAUCUCGGGACAGAGAGGUUAUCCAGGUGUGGCCUAAGUGUAAUCACAAGUUUGUAAGAAGGACGCAGAGGGAGAUGUGACUACAGAUGGGAUAGGAGGGGAUGUGAUGACAAAAGAGACUGUAGUGACUCCAUCGGUCCAGAAGUGCUGGCGACCACCGGGAACCUGAAGAAGCAAGGAACAGAUUCUCCCCCUAGAACCUCCAGAAAGAACCAACCCUUGGCGACACCUUGAUUUCAGCCUCGUGAGACUCAGUUGGGACCUUUGGACUGCAGAACUGUAAGCGAAUGCAUUUGUUUUGUCUGAGCCACUAAAUGUAAGUUUAACCCCUGCUCCCUUGAGAGGAUCCAGGAUCCACCUCCUGGCCUUUCCUAGCUUCUAGAACUGCGUUCUGUGCCUCGCGGCCCCUUCCUCCAUCGUCAAAGCCAGGGGUGCGGCAACUUCUCCCUCUUGCUCUGCCUUGAGCUACUUUUCUUCUGUGUUCCAAACUCCCUUUGCUUUGGAGAUUGUUUCCAAUCUCCUCUUAUAGGAGUGUUUGUAGGGGCGGGGCUCCUGGGUGGCCCAGCGGGUUAAGCGUCCAACUCUUGAUUUCGGCUCAGGUCAC